ACAAAAUUUCAGAAAGAGUAGAGCAUUUGCAAAGGGUGCUUCAACCUAUCGUGGAGUCUCCAGGAAUUCGGAUUACAAGAAAUGGCAAGCAAGAAUUGGAAAAGGAAAAGAUAUCAAAGGAAUCUACCUUGGAACAUUUGAUACAGAAGAGGAAGCAGC